rnacentral:tRNA from 1 species
UGCGGAUGUGGCGGAACUGGCAGACGCGCAGGCUUCAGGUGCCUGUGGGGGCAACCCCGUGGAGGUUCGACUCCUCUCAUCCGCAG